rnacentral:rRNA from 1 species
GAUGAACGCUGGCGGCGUGCCUAAUACAUGCAAGUCGAGCGAACAGACGAGGAGCUUGCUCCUCCGACGUCAUCGGCGGACGGGUGAUUAACAUGUGGUUAACCUACCUAUCAGACUGGGAUACCUUCGGGAAACCGGAGCUAAUACCGGAUAACUUGUUGCCCCUCAUUGUUUCACAGUGAAAGUCGGUCUUUCUGUCACUUAUAGAUGGAUCCGCACCGCAUUAGCUAGUUGGUAAGGUAACGGCUUACCAACGCAACGAUGCGUAGCCGACCUGAAAGGGAGGUCCGCUACAUGGGAUCAGAGGAACGUCCCCGACUCCGGGAGUAGGCAGCAGCAGAGACUCUUCCGCAAGGGGGGAGAGGGGGACAGUGGAAAACGGGGGGAGGGAAGAUGGAGCACGGAUCGGAGAACGAUGUUAGCAGGGGAGAACAAAUGUGCAAGUAACUGGGAUGAUAUUGACGGUACCGGGUGAGAAAGCCACGGCUAACUACGUG